rnacentral:rRNA from 1 species
GAGUUUGAUCUUGGCUCAGAUUGAACGCUGGCGGCAUGCCUUACACAUGCAAGUCGAACGGCAGCAUGAUCUAGCUUGCUAGAUUGAUGGCGAGUGGCGAACGGGUGAGUAAUACAUCGGAACGUGCCCUGUAGUGGGGGAUAACUAGUCGAAAGAUUAGCUAAUACCGCAUACGACCUGAGGGUGAAAGUGGGGGACCGCAAGGCCUCAUGCUAUAGGAGCGGCCGAUGUCUGACUAGCUAGUUGGUGGGUAAAGGCCCACCAAGGCGACGAUCAGUAGCUGGUCUGAGAGGACGAUCAGCCACACUGGGACUGAGACACGGCCCAGACUCCUACGGGAGGCAGCAGUGGGGAAUUUUGGACAAUGGGCGAAAGCCUGAUCCAGCAAUGCCGCGUGUGUGAAGAAGGCCUCGG